UAGAUUUUGGCUUAUAUCUCUGAAAACAAAGCAUUUAGAGUAAAUCUGACAGGGUAAAACUGAUUAUCAGGUCAAGAUCUAUCUGCCCUGAAAUUUUCAGACAAAUCUGACAACCUGUUGUUGGGUUGCUGCCCCUGUAUUGGUAAUUUUAAGGAAAUUUUGCAGUUUUUGGUUAUUAUCUUGAAUAUUAUUAUAGAUAGAGAUAAACUGUAAACAGCAAUAAUGUUCAGCAAAGUAAGAUCUACAAAUAAGUUGUAAUGACCAAAAUUGUCAGUCGACCCCUUUAGGAGUUAUUGCCCUUAAUAGUCAAUUUUUAACAAUUUUUUGUAAAUUUUUGUAAUCUUUUACAAAAAUCUUCUUCUCUGAAACUACUGAGACAAAUUUAACCAUACUUGGCCAUAAUCAUUAUUAGGGUAUCUAGUUUGAAAAAUUUGUCCGAUGACCCCGCCUUCCAACCAUCAUGGCCGACUUGGUUAAAAAUAGAACAUAGGGGUAAAAUGCAGUUUUUGGUUUAUAUCUUUGAAACUAAAGCAUUUAGAGCAAAUCUGACAGGUGGCAAAAAUGUUCAUCAGAUUUAGAUUUAUCUGCCCUGAAAUUUUCAGAUAAAUCCGACAACCUGUUGUUGGGUUGCUGCCCCAUAGUUAGUAAUUUUACAAAAAUUUUGCAGUUUUUUGUUAUUAUCUUAGAUAUCAUUAUAAUAUCUAAUAUCUAAUACUAUUAAUUAUGAUUUUAACCUUAUUUUACGUGAUUUCCAAAGCAUCAGUAAAUACAGGUGAGCGACACAGGCUCUUGAGAGCCUCUAGUCAAACAUAUGGUAGUGACUCCUUACUUGAAUAAUUGUUCACCUGAAAAGAAAGAGUCAGUAGGAAUUUAGUCAAACUAUUGGUGAUUUUUUUUAUAUUUAAUUUAUGUACUACAUUAUGCCAUAUAUUUUUUACAUCAAAGUUAAUUGAUUUUGAAGUAUGAUGCCUUAAAUGUCUGCCAUUCUAAUUGGCUUUGUAACAUGCAUACAAAAACACACACACACACACACACACAUGUAUAUAUAUACAUGUAUAUAAUCAAAAUCUCUCAAAUGAAGGUAAAUAAAAUCUCCUUAAAAUAAUCCGGAGCUUUCAACCUAUCAUGCAUAUGGAUUAACAGGAUACUUACAGAGAUACUAUUCAGAGAAACUUACAAAUAUGCAAGCUGCAUGGAAUUAGUACAAAAAUAUGACGUUCUUUUUCCGGAAUUUAUUUUUGUAUUUAUGAUGUUGUUCAUUGUAAUAUAUAAUAGAAGUGUUACUAUACCAAAAAUAAAGUUCCGCUGAAGAAGACCACCAUGACCAGUCGAUGAGUUCUAGAUUAUUUUAAGAGUUUAUAUAUAUAUAAUUAUGCUUAUUUAAAUUCUUAUACCAUGUAGAGGACAUGUGUGUUUUAUACUUAUUGUAAUAUAUUUAGCUAGAAAAAAGCAAUUUGUGUGCCAUAAUUAUUAAUACCAUAAUAGUCAAUUUUGAUAUAAUCUUUUCUAGAUUUUAGCCUCAAUUCAUAUUUUCCAGUCAUAGUAGCAGAGUCUGUAGAAGCAACAUGAUACUUUACUUCAGUAUGGGACUUAGACAACCAAACUCAAACUAGGCUUAUGAUAUGAUUCGUUCCGUCUGCAUGUCUGGAUGUCAACAUUUCUGUUUCUAAGCAAAAUUUAUUGAGCUAUAAGCACUAUCUAAUCUUAAUAAAAAUUGGUUUGAUAAUGUCCCAUGGGCUAAGGAAGAGCCCUGUUAAUUAUGGGAUCGUAGGUCAAGUUCUCAGCAGCUAUUGAUCAACUGAAAUUUGGACUGAAUUUCAGUUUUCUGGAUGUAAUCUCAUUUGAUUUUGAGGUCACUAGGUCAAAGUAAAGGUCACAUGAAUUGAUAGACUGAAAUUGGGGCAAACUUUUCCAGGUUAUAACUUUUGAACCAUAUGUCGACCAUUCACCAAACUUGGCUUGAGAAUGUUUCUUGGAAAGAGCUGGCCAUGGACCCCUGUAGAUUUUUUGGUCAGUACUCUGAAUUAGUAGGUCAAAAGUCAAGGUCACAGUACCAUCAUUUUCAAUUGUCAGCAGACUUGUGUAUCAUACCCUUAACCGAUGAAAUUAAAACCAAAAUAAAAAAUCUGUUUCUUAACAACUCACCUUAUGGACUUGUGGUACUUUUAGAAUUGAUCAUAUGUGCAACAGUAGUUAAGUUGAAUUUCAUUAGAGAGUUUUGUAAGGAAAGAAAUUGUCUGUAUAACAUUACUUAAAUGAUAAUUGUAUAACUGUAUAGUUAAAAUGAACUUUUAUGCAGGUGCUCAAUUAUUACAAUUGUACAGUGGUGCUGCAUGUUAGUUGUAGUAAAUAAGUUUUCAAUCAUGUUUAUGUUGAUAAGUAGAUCUUAUAUUAUAAACAUAAAAUAACUAAUACAGUCUUUCAAGUUUGCUCAUACGUAGUCAUAGGUAAUAUUUUAUAAUAAGAAAAUAUGACAACAAAAUCAUAAUGUUUAAUUCUCAAUGAAAUGUAUAUUUUUGUCGAGUCUGCAACCUUUCUGUUGCGAAAGCAAGACAUAGCGAUCCUAGAUUAUGUUGUCAGCGUAAGCGGCGUCAACAUUUAGGUUCAGUCUGUGUUUAAAUUUUUUUUAGACAUUAAUAACUUUGUCAACAUGGUCAAACCUUAAUAGAAUUUUAUGAAAUUUGGACAGAAGCUUGUUUAUAACCAAAAUACAGUAUCCAAGGCAAAAUUUUGAAAAUAUUAAUUUUUAUUUUUCCAUAUUUUCUUGAUAAAUGGACUUAGUUUUUUUUACAGUUUACUUUCAUAUUCAAUCUGAGGUUAAAUUUAUUCAGUCAUUAAUUACUUUGUCAAACCUUCAUGGAAUUUAAUGAAAUUUGGACAGAAGCUUGUUUAUGACCAAAAUACAGUAUCUAAAGCAAAAUUUAGAAAAUAUCUAUUUUCUUUUCUCUGUAUUUUACUGAUAAAAGGACUUAGUUUUUGUUACAUUUAACAAGUAGAUACAGUCUGUGGUUAAAGAUUGUUUCACAUCAAAUACUUUGUCAAACCGUCAUAGAAUUUAUAAAACUUUUUAAUGAUUAAGAGAUAAUGUCUGAAUCAAAUUUUGAAAAUAUAUUUUCAUUUUUAGUAUUUUUCUGAUAGAUGAACUUACUUUUUUUACAGUUAACAUUUACAGACAGUCUGGGAUUAAAUUUUUUAGACAUGAUAAGUUUGUUUUUCUUCAUGGAUUGUUAUGAAACUUGGACAGAAGCUAAUCUUCAAGACCAAGAAAUAGCAUCUAAAGAGAAAGUUUGAUUUUUUUUUUAAAGUUUGUAUUUUACUGAUAAAUGGACUCACUUUUUAAGUCAACAUUACACUUUUACACUGACAACAGCAAUCGUAGGCGAGACACAGGGUUCCCUGGAACCCCUUACAAAUUUUUGAUUUAUUUUGUACAAUGUCUGAAACCACAAGGAACAAAAAAAAUAUUGACCAUUUAAUUUUACAUAGAAGAACAAAUUUUUAUCAGAUAACAAGAGUGCUUUCAUAGGUAAAUGAUUAUAUUAAAAAAUAAGACUACUCAUGUUUUGUCUCUGACAUUCUUUGUAAUUAGUUUUACCUCUUCUUUCUCUGAAUCUUGCUUCUAAAUCAUUAAAAUCAAAUUUUGGAGGUUUAAUGGCCUGGUUUAAUUUUGAUAUUGACUAAUACAUGUGACAAGGACCUCCUUAUGAAUUAUGCUAUGUAUGUACUCUGCUUUCUACAUAUUACUCAGCUUUUGUCUUAAGGAAUGGUCUGAAAACUGGUCUUGAGCUUUAUAAUGUUGAAUAUUACAAUGUAAGCUAUUGCAGAUUUGAAAAGCAGUCAAUUUCUUUUUUUUUGUAAUUCUAAAAUUUUCAUUAUACCAACUAAGCAGGAAUUUAAUGCCACAUAUUACUCAAUGUCUGUAGUCAGGAAUAAUUUUGAUAUUUGUAUGGAUCCUUAUCAUGUUGAGUUGUACUGACACUCUAUACAACAUUUAUCUCUUUAGUUAUUUCCUGUUUGAUGAUACUUUGAAUUUUUAUUUUACUUAUUGAGCAUAGAACUGUUUGUUAAUUUAAUAACAAGUGGGGGUACUGAGGAUUCAUUAUUAUUCGUUGGAUACCAAUUUUCAUGGAUCUCCUGGGUACAGGUGAACCACAAAAUUAAGUGUUCAAGGAAUUACAAAUUGUCUUUAAAAUUAUAUGCAGACUUUGGCAAAAGCAUGAAAUCAAAAAUCCACAAAAAUGCAAGUUUUCCUCAAUCCACGAAAAUCGGUACCGACGAAAAUAAAUGAAUCCACAAUAUUAUACUUUACAUGUAACUUUUUGUUUUCAUAAUAAUGAUUCAACAAACUAUUAACAUUUCUGGGACAUAUAUCCAUAGUGCCAUAUACAAUAACUUUAUAAUUUGCAUUACAUUUAUAAUAAAUUUGAAUAUACUCUUA